GCUCCGGUGGCCUAGUGGUUAGAGCGUCCGCCUUGGAUGCGGGAGGUCGUGGGUUCGAUCCACCGUCGAGUCA